rnacentral:rRNA from 1 species
UACGUAGGGUCCGAGCGUUAAUCGGAAUUACUGGGCGUAAAGCGUGCGCAGGCGGUUUUGUAAGCCAGUCGUGAAAUCCCCGGGCUUAACCUGGGAAUGGCGAUUGGGACUGCAAGGCUCGAGUGCGGCAGAGGGGGGUGGAAUUCCGCGUGUAGCAGUGAAAUGCGUAGAGAUGCGGAGGAACACCGAUGGCGAAGGCAGCCCCCUGGGAUAACACUGACGCUCAUGCACGAAAGCGUGGGGAGCAAACAGGAUUAGAAACCCUGGUAGU